rnacentral:rRNA from 1 species
UACGGGGGAUGCAAGCGUUAUCCGGAAUCACUGGGCGUAAAGCGUCUGUAGGUGGUUUACUAAGUCUGCUGUUAAAUAUUAGGGCUCAACCCUAAGCAAGCAGUGGAAACUAUUAGACUAGAGUAUGGUAUAGGUAGAGGGAAUUCUCAGUGUAGCGGUGAAAUGCGUAGAUAUUGGGAAGAACACCAGAAGCGAAAGCGCUCUACUGGGCCAUUGCUGACACUCAGAGACGAAAGCUAGGGGAGCGAAUGGG